rnacentral:ncRNA from 1 species
GGAAGUAAAAGUCGUGACAAGGUUUUGCUAAGCAACACAGUCCUUCUGUAGCAGAGCUUAACGGAAACCUUGCACCCGAGAGGGGGGAGGCGACUAUAAACAAGCUUCCAGCGCAAGUCAGCAUUGCUGGCAACACAAUCGAAUUGCGGGGACGCUUUAAAGCCCACCGGUACCAACGGCUCCUUAUGGGGCCGGGCGAGCGCAGCUCGAGGUUACAAUCUGGUGGAAUGAUACAAUAAGCAAUCCGCAGCGGCAUAGCCGUUCACAGACUAAGUGGUUGUGGGUAGGAGAACCCUAUCUAAGAUAUAGUCGGGCCCGAGGAGAGAUCCUCGGGGUUUCUGCGUCCGUAGGUGAACCUGCGGAAGGAUCAUUA